AUGUUUUUAUGGCCUACGCUGCACCGCAUGGGGGGGAAACCCUUCCUCCAGCGGCCGGGGCGGACACGGAGGCCGCGGCCCUUCCCUUUCCAAGUCUGUGGGGUGAAGGGGCCGGUGUCUCCCCGAGGAAGACCGACGGCGCUCGGCGACCGGAGCCCCCGGAGCAGCGGCCCCGGCCCGCAGGCGGAGCUGCCCGCCGCCAUUACCGCUCCCCGGGGCUCUCCUCACCGGGCACCCGGCCCCUUCCCCUUCCUCCCCGGCAGCGCCCAGCCCCGGCCAGCGGGCGGCUCCCACCUCCGCCGCCUCCCUCCCUGCCUGCCUGCCUCCCUCCCGGCCGCGGCCGCGCGGUGCCGGGCCCCCUCCGGCAGCCUCCCCGCUCCCGAAAUGGCGGCCGGCCGGCGGCGGCGGGCAGCGCAGCCCCGCGCCCUAUCGGCAGCAGGGGGAGGGCGAGGCUCCUCCCCGGCCCCGCCGCUCCGCGCCGGACCCCGGCGGCCCCUGGUUACCUCCCGCCGCUCGGCUCCCUCGCUCCUGCCGGCCGCUGGGGCUGCGGGGCUGCUCGGCGGCGGCGGCGGAGGCAGGGGGAGACGGGGAGGCUCCGGCGGAGCGUGCGCCGCGGGGCCACAGUGCCGCUCUCCGACCGGCCGGGGAAGGGCAGCCGGGAGGAGGCUCCGCGCCGCCCUCUCUCUCCCCCCCGGCCUCCCCUGCCGGGCCCCGCAGCGCCGCCUCGGAGGCCGGGCUGGCCGCGGGAGGCUGCAGCCGGGCUCCGGGCACAGCCCUGCCUCCUGCCGGCAUCCGCCGUGGCUCCCCGAAACGGGGGGGGAAUCGGGGCUUGUCCCCCGCAGUCUGCCGCUUGCCGGCUUGUUGAGGCGGGCGGCCACAAAGCUGCUCACAGGGCUUCCCGUGUCAGCCGUGUCACGGUUGUCCCGUGCCCUGCUGGUAUGGCAAAACUUACCAAAAACCCUCCCUACAGAGGGCAUGGCACCGGCGGCGGGAGGUAGGCCGGCUUACCAAACCGUCGGAGAUUGA
rnacentral:lncRNA from 1 species